CCUAUCACUCUCUCCCUCACCCUUCCUUGCCCCCCAUCGCCCUCUCUCUCUCUCUCUCUCUCUCUCUCUCUCUCUCUCUCUCUCCCUCCCUCCCUCCCUCUCUCUCAACCUCUCUGCCACUCUCCGAAGGAUUUCUUCCCCAAAUCUGACGACGCAUGCAUCUUUCCGAUCAGCAUAAUCUUUCCAGCGAGCAUCCCCUAAGUCAACCUCUCGACGUUGUUGGCAAUGGAAAAUACAUUGUGGACAUGCACACCCCCUGUUUGAUGGUUGGUGUAUGAGAGAGAAAUGUGGGGACCAAGAAGGAAAGAGGGAAAUCACCCAUCCAAGCGGGUCUAUCUAAGCAGUCCAUGCUGAAGCAACUGAUUGUAUCUUUGGUGAAUGCACUGAACUCUAAUCCAACCUCAAUGAUUGAAAAAAAGAUUGUUGGAUUGGUAAGCAUUUUAUGACCUGAGGGAAUAGAGAAUCCUGAUAUCUAUUUCUCUGAAAGGGCAUUUUUCUCAUCAUUUAUGCUUCUUUAGAAUUGAUUCUUAGUUACCAUUGUAUGUAUUUCAUUUUUAAUCGCACAGUCAAUGUCCACCAAUUCAAUGGUCAGAUAAUCAAAAUAAUCUUCUUCUU